ensembl:lncRNA
AUGAUAUAUUUGUAUGAUUGUGAUUUAAAGGCCAUCUGUGAUGCACACUCAGAUGUAUCAUUGAUUAUUUUUCUUCACUUAAGUUUUUUUUAUAUCUGUAAUUUUCUCUCUUUCUCAGCGUCAUGCAUUGCUGCCGCACACUGGUUUAUAUGCUGCACAAGUCCCCUAUUUACAUUUGUAUUAUCCAGAAAACACACUGGCCUCUCCGCUAUGCUUUAUGGAAGACUGUUUGCUGAUUCUGGAAAAGUAGACAACAAUGCCGGCUGUUCUGACUCACAUACGGUAAGUACGUUUUCAUAUUUAACGAAUUUGCCACUAAUAAUUCAAACAUGAGUUCUGAGCAGUGUAGAGUAGCGCUUGUUGUUUGUCAUUUCUCCGAUCACAAAUGCAGACAUGGUUUUAUGUUUACGCAGCGAGAUGCAACAGAAUGCAUAUAAAGACAGUAUAAGUCAUUAUAAUCAGUAAUUCUGUUCCCACUGGAUGCAACAAAUGCCUUGAUUGUAAUGGGUUUUAUUGGUUUUGUCUCAUCGUACCGAGAGACGGCAUCACAGUAUGUUAAGGGGCAUAACAUUUCCGUCACAUGCUUGAGAUAUCCAGCCAAUCACAACACACUGGAUAGCUGGCCAAUCAGAGCACACCUCGCUUUUCAGACCGAUGAGUUUUGUAAAAAUCGAUGCGUUUCAGAAAGGCGGGGCAUAGAGGAGAAACAAUAAUGUACAGUAUGUGGAAAAUGUUUUUUUUUUUACCUUAAACCGCAUAAACACAUUUCAUUACACCAAAUACACAAAAUAAUGUUCUUUUAGCAACAUCAUAUGACCCCUUUAAGUGAUUGCACAAACCUGCUUCUUUUAAUCAGUCACUUUUGUUAUAACGUACUGAUUAAAAGUAGUAAUCAAUAAUUAGUUAUUAUUUUACUACUCUUUGCACCUCCCUAGACACACUCUCACACCCCACACACUGACAACUCCUGAAAACAAACAAAAGUCUCUGAGAUUCUCAAAGUCAGGGAGGAGUCCAUGGACCUAUUGGAGAAAGAAGAGAUGUCUAGCAGUGUGGAAGACAACGUGUUCAUAUACAAUCUGCUGACAGGGCACUGCUUGGGCCUUUUCCCACUAUGAAGUGGCAUUUUCCUUGGUAACAUGGAAAAGUAUGCCACAGAGUCAAAAAAUAAAAAUAAUAUAACAACAAAAAGCACUUGAAGCAAUAGUACAAGACACAAGAACCAGGGAUAAAAACAGACAUGGUGAAUUGUUGGUUUGGGAUUUUGAAAAAUGUAAUAUUACAAAGAGGAAGAAAAUGAGGCCAGCAUAUUUUAUCUGCACACUUCAUUCAUCUUUUUUUCGUUCUCUACACUACAUUACAUGGAGUGGGAGUCAAAUCAGAGAUGUAGCUGGGUUUUUGGAUGGUGUGGGUCUUAAUUUGUGAAUUGUGGACCCUUUCUGUGUAAUCACUAUCAACAGUCUGUGUAGUCUAUACUUAUAUUGUACUGUGUGAAAAAGCAAUUCUUGGGGUGGUUGGGGGUAUGCUCCCCAGGAGAUAAAAAAAGACCCCUCAAAUGAUGUCUUCUAGUGAGUUUUGAGGAAAUAUGGACAGGUUUAGUCAUACAACAUAAGCCAUCAAUAGAUUUAGGUUAUCUGGAUUGAAACAAGAUUUUAAUGCAGGAUUGUUGCAUUGAUAACCAUGACUGUCAAAACAUUUCCCUCUGAUUCAGUAAAGACUCAGUGAAGUACCUUUUUAGUCAAACAUUAUUUUUGGAUUUAUUACAAUAUAACAUACAACAAUUUAAAAUGUACAUAAGAAUGUCAUUCAUAAUCUCUCUCUCUCUCUCUCUCUCUCUCUCUCUCUCUCUCUCUCACACACACACACACACACACACACACACACACACUCUCUCUCUAAACUGCUGAUCACUUUAAACUGCUGAUCACUUGAGGGCAAACAUCAAAAACACAAUUUCCUGAGGCAAGACCUCAAAAUCCACAGGAACUAUGGAAUUCAUAUUAACUAUAGUUUGGGCAUUUCAGCCCAAGAUAAACAUUUAUGGAUGCCAGGCAUUUGUGAGGCUCCAUACUGUAUGCAGAAAACAUACAAAAAAGAACAUCUUGAAAUGAAAAACACUAACUUGAUAAAAUUAUAACCUAAUGCAAUUUUCUUAUUUGCAAGAUGCUGUUAUUUUAUUGCACAUGACUAUUAAACUGUACAGGUUAAAUCAAUUGCAGACGGCGGUUUCCAUGAAUGCUAGCAAAGCGUUGAACAAACUCGUUUAAGUCAACUGCUUUAGCACGGUCACUCUCAAUGCUGAGCACAGCUAAAUGGGACAAUCUCAUCAAUCUCAGCUAAACAGCUGCAAUCUUGCAUAAACGAUGCAUCUCAUAAAACACCUCUUUAAAAGGGUCCAAAUAACCUAGCAGUUCAAUCAAAGAUAAAGGGCAAUUUUUUCCAUCUCUUUUACUCCUUGCAAAAAGCCUCUCAACCUGAGUGAGUUCAUUUUUCAGAUCCUCAAUAUUUGAGCCAUAUGCUUCAGCAAGCAGCAAGACAGUAUCCUCUUUUAGGAAGUGAUUGCUAACUUGGUUUAGCCCCUGUAAGCCUUUCAUUAUAUUGCAACUGGGCGUUGAAAAAUGCUUCUGCAUUUCCCCAAUAAUGGAGUCCAUUAUUGGCAGGAAUAUGUUUGUUCUAAAGGCAUCCUUGUCAUUAACUUGGCUGCUGUGAUCAAGUGUGGAUGUGUCAUAACUGUCAUUUAGUGCUCUUUUUAGUCUAACAGUGAUGGGGAUGUUGCAGGUUUCACAUGUGUGGAUUACUGUGUUCCACAGCUCAUUAAAGUACUUAUCCUCAUUGCGAUGCUCUUCAAAGGUCACCCUGAGGGUCUCAAUUAAGUCUACAGCUCUGAGGAGAUCCAAGUUUGGGGUCUGUAGCAGCUCAGAAAAAAACUUUGCAUCACCAAGCACAUGUCUAAAUACGGCAAGUAGUUCAAUGAAGUUCAGGUCAAUUGGAAACAUUAACCCUCGGGCCUUCGUACAUUUCUUUCAGGAUCAACCUCAUUGUCAUCCAACACUUUGAGUACUGCAGACAAUCUAUCAAAAAGGUUCCUACAGGCAAUGCCGCGACAGGCCCAUCUGGUGUCGCUGAGGCUUUGAAUUUCUCUAGGGGGGCCACUAAACAUCUCCGCUUGUACUUCCAUCCACUUUUGAUGGACAUAAGAUGCGGAAAGAAACUCAUACAAUUGCUGGAGCAAAGUAAAAAACUCCCCAGCCUCAGGGACCUUUUUGAUGCAAUCGACAAUCACCAAAUUUAAGCAAUGAGCAUUGCAGUGGACAUAAAAAGCAUAUUUGGCCACCUGUUUAACUCUUGUCUGUACCCCUGAGCACUGGCCACUCAUAACUGCAGCACCGUUCUACCCUUGGCCCACUAAAUUUUCUUUGUAUUCAAGGCCAUACUGCUCCAAAAAAGAGAUGAUUUUGUUAGCUAAGGAUUUCCUACCUCCUGGGAACACACAUGGAGUUUCCACAGGUCUGGAUGCAGUUCCCAAAGGGUGCCCCGUCUCUGAGAAAGCAGAUCCUUUCUCAGAGGUAUCGGCCAGGGAGGGUCUGUCGCGAGGAGCAUGACUUCCUGGAACCAGGUCCUGUUGGGCCAAUAUGGAGUCACUAGUAAGACCUGCUCCUCAUCCUCCCUGAUCUUGCACAGUAUCUGUGCAAGCAGGCUCACUAGGGAGAACGCAAAUUUGCGCAGGUCCCGGGGCCAGCUGUGUGCCAGUGCAUCCGUGCAGAGUUUGCUGCAAACCAAUCUUGGGGACGGAUGCACUCAAAAAUGCAUUUCAAAACUGGCAGAUCCAAGAUCGGUCGUAACUCACCGCAUUUCUUGGGCACAAUGAAGUAAGUGCUGUAAAAUCCCCACCUCAUAUCGACUCUAUCGCGUUCUUUGCCAGAAGGACUGCGAUCUCCGCACGCAAGACAGUGGCAUUGAAGACCUUGACUUAGGUGAACCGGAUGCUCCUGAAAGUGGGGGGACGCCUGGCGAACUGAAUCGUGUAGUCAAGUCUGAUGGUCCGCAGGAGCCACGGAGACGGACUGGGGAGCGCUAACCAGGCUCAGCGAGACCGUGGCCCUGUGAUGCACAGUUCACAACUCUUUUCCUCUUGAGAUCCAGAGACUGAGGAAGCGCUCUUUUAUUGUUUAAGUUUUGGUCAGAUAAGUAUGAUUUGAUAAAGAGACAGGAUGAUACAAGUAGAAUCACUAGGAGUUUAGCUACUCAAAUAAAUGAAUAUCCUUAAGGCAGAAUUACUUUUUGAUUGAUUCAGGCUAGGUCUCCUACCUGUGUGUGUCGCUGUUGGACAGUUUUAUUCCUGCUUCCUGUUUGCCGUGCUGCUGUUUUGUGAUCGUAGCUCCAUGUAGCUUUGUUUUUCUGUAGAAUCUUUAUAUUACUAUCACUCUCUGUUGUUUAAAGUGAUAAAAUAUAACUUAAUUCUCACCAUAUUUCUGAUAUUAUCUAUCAAUCUAAUCUGAUUAAUUUGAUCGUUCACUUUUAUUUUAAAUCCGCGAGUGCAGUGCACCUGCAUCGCGUUAGCACUCGUUAGCUUGUCAUUAGCGUUUCCAUUUGUGCCUAUCGCUGUUUUCUUUCCUCCUCUCCUCUCUCUCGUUACUCUCUCUCUCCGGUUUUCCCAAGUUCAUCAAACAACUGUGGUAAGAAUCU